UCCGGUUUGUCACCGGCAGUCUCCUUAGAGUUCCCACCAUUACGUGCUGGCAAAUAAGGACAAGGGUUGCGCUCGUUACGGGACUUAACCCAACAUCUCACGACACGAGCUGACGACAGCCAUGCAGCACCUGUCUCCCGGUUCCCGAAGGCACACCUCCAUCUCUGGAGGCUUCCGGGGAUGUCAAGACCUGGUAAGGUUCUUCGCGUUGCGUCGAAUUAAACCACAUGCUCCACCGCUUGUGCGGGCCCCCGUCAAUUCAUUUGAGUUUUAAUCUUGCGACCGUACUCCCCAGGCGGUCAACUUAAUGCGUUAGCUGCGCCACUAAAGGGACUAAGCCCCCCAACGGCUAGUUGACAUCGUUUACGGCGUGGACUAC
rnacentral:misc_RNA from 1 species